CGCCUGUUUAUCAAAAACAUGUCUUUUUGUUAAUUAUUUAAGGUUUGGCCUGCUCCAUGAUUUAUUUUAAUAGCCGCAGUAUUUUGACUGUGCAAAGGUAGCAUAAUCAUUAGUUUUUUAAUUGAAAGCUGGAAUGAAUGGUCGGAUGAGAGAACAGCUGUCUCACUUUAAUUUUACUUGAAUUUUAUUUUUAAGUUAAAAAGCUUAAAUUUAAUAGAAAGACGAGAAGACCCUAUAGAGUUUAAUAGUGAAUGAUUCAAUUGUUGUUGGGUUUUACUGUGAUUGUUUUGUUAUCUAUUUUGUUGGGGUGACAUUAGAAUUGAAUUAACUUCUUUUUUUAUAUACACUGAUUAGUGAAAAGAUGAUCCUGAGCUUCGGAUUAUAAGAAUAAAUUACCUUAGGGAUAACAGCGUAAUUCUUUUGGAGAGUCCUAAUCGAUAAAAGGGAUUGCGACCUCGAUGUUGGAUUAAAGGAAAGUUUUGGUGCAGAAGCCAAGAUUUUA
rnacentral:rRNA from 1 species